GUGCCCCGCCCCCUUCCCGAGCCUCCGCGCUGGCCGGCUGCCGCCAGCAGUCGCAUUCGGCUCCGCCCCCAGCCCCCUGCUCCCCACGUGCGCAGCGGCGCAACUCCCGCACCGAUUCCUGGCCGCCGGUGCCCCCGAUUCUCACCUAGGGUUGCUGGCGCAGCUGCCAUCGUCUCAGCCCAAACGGCGGAUUCCCGCACUCACUGGUGAUGGCACUCCCGCUUCCGGGUCCGCUCGGCUGUUUCCGGAUCCGCUCGGCUGUUUCCGGAUCGGCUCUGCAGGGGCCGCGGGGGGUGGGAGGGCGGGAUGGUCAAGAGACGCCGACUGCACUCGAGUGGACGCGCGGCCUGGAUCCCGCCUUUCUUGCAGCCUCGUGGGACCGCCCCCGCGCUCCCGCGCUCCCUGGAAGCUCCGAGGGCUUCGGGUCUGCGGUAGUCUUCUCUGGUGCUGAGGAUCUGCUGAGGCUCCACUCGAGGCCACCUCCUGGAACGCCUGGUCUUAGUCCUAGAGGACGCUGCGCGCGGCCUCCUCCUUCCCUCCGCCCGGCCGCCCUUCCGCCGUAACCCGACUCGCGUUACUGCGAAGUGUGCCCGGCCCGCCCAGCAUCUCCGCCCCGCGGGCCAGGGCUGGGUUGGCGUUCUGAAGCUUGGCGCAGUCAGUGGCAGAGGUGCGAAAUCUACGUGUCUCCAAUCCCAUUUUCAUAUGGCUUCCUGCAAAUCUCUUUCUCCACUCCCAGGGCUGUAAAUCUUUCAGCCUGGGUCUGGGUCAAUCUCUCAUUAUGUAUGACCUCUCGCUUUGGAGAGUCACAGCAAUUCAAACAAGUACAGAGCCUGGGUCCCCCUGCCUCCAAACCGGUUUUCUAUAAAAGACUUUGAACCUGGAA
rnacentral:lncRNA from 1 species